rnacentral:lncRNA from 1 species
CGAUAUCGAUUGUUCCCUGGAAUUGGACAAUUCAUGUUCGUAUGAAGUUCGUUAUGAAAUGGAGUGGUUGGUGUAUUGCAUAGUUGUAGAGAUUGGAUUUCACUCAAAACCCACCAAAUGACUCCUCCCACCGUAUUAUGAUGUUGCCCAAGUUUUGUACUCAAUCUGAUAUCGAUUGGUCCAUGAAAUUGGACAAUUCAGGUUCGUAUGAAGUUCGUUCUGAAAUGGAGUGGUUGGUGUAUUGCAUAGUUGUAGAGAUUGGAUUUUAAUCAAAACCCACCAAAUGACUCCUCCCACCGUAUUAUGAUGUUCCCCAAGUUUUGGACUCAAAACGAUAUCGAUUGGUCCAUGAAAUUGGACAAUUCAGGUUCGUACGAAGUUCGUUAUGAAAUGGAGUGGUUGGUGUUUUGCGUAGUUGUAGAGAUUUGAUUUCACUCACAUCUCACCAAAUGACUCCUCCCACCGUAUUAUGAUGAUCCCCAAGUUUUGGACUCAAUCCGAUAUAGAUUGGUCCAAGAAAUUCGACAAUUCAGGUUCGUACGAAGUUCGUUAUGAAAUGGAGUGGUUGGUGUGUUGUAUAGUUGUAAAGAUUGGAUUUCACUCAAAACCCACCAAAUGACUCCUCCUACCGUAUUAUGAUGUUCCCCAUGUUUUGGAGUCAAUCCGAUAUCGAUUGGUCCAUGAAAUUGGACAAUUCAAGUUCGUACGAAGUUAGUUAUGAAAUGGUGUGGUUGGUGUAUUGCAUAGUUGUAAAGAUUGGAUUUCACUCAAAAGACACCAAAUGACUCCUCCCACCGUAUUAUGGUGUUCCCCAAGUUUUGGACUUAGUCCGAUAUCUAUUGGUCCAUGAAAUUGGACAAUUCAGGUUCGUACGAAGUUCGUUAUGAAACGGAGUGGUAAGUGUAUUGCAUAGUUGUAGAGAUUGGAUUUCACUCAAAACCCACAAAACGACUCCUCCCACCGUAUUAUGAUAUUCCCCAAGUUUUGGAGUCAGUCCGAUAUCGAUUGGUCCAUGAAAUUGGACAAUUCAGAUUCGUACGAAGUUCGUUCUGAAAUGGAGAUGUUAGUGUAUUGCAUAGUUUUAGCCAUUGGAUUUCAGUCAAAAGACACCAAAUGACUCCUCCGACCGUAUUAUGAUCUUCCCCAAGGUGUGGACUCAAUCCGAUAUCGAUUGACCCAUGAACUUGAGCAAUUCAGGUUCGUACGAAGUUCGUUCGGAAAUGGAGUGGUCGGUGUAUUGCAUAGUUUUUGCCAUUGGAUUUCAGUCGAAAGACACUAAAUGACACCUCCCACCGUAUUAUGAUGUUCCUUAGGUUUUGGACUCAAUCCGAUAACGAUCAAUCCAUGAAAUUGGACAAUUCAGGUUCGUAUGAAGUUCGUUCUGAAAUGGAGUGGUUGGUGUAUUGCAAAGUCGUAGAGAUUGGAUUUCACUCAAAACCCAACAAACGACUCCUCCCACCGUAUUAUGAUAUUCCCCAAGUUUAGGAGUCAAUCCGAUAUCGAUUGGUCCAUCAAAUUGGACAAUUCAGGUUCGUACGAAGUUCGCUCAGAAAUAGAGUGGUUAGUGUAUUGCAUAGUUUUAGCCACUGCAUUUCACUCAAAAGUCACCAAAUGUCUCCUCCCAUCAUACUAUGAUGUUCCCCAAGUUUUGGACUCAAUCCGAUAUCGAUUGGUCCAUGAAAUUGGACAAUUCAAGUUCGUACGAAGUUCGUUCUGAAAUGGAGUGGUUGGUGUAUUGCAUAGUUGUAGAGAUUGGAUUUUACUCAAAACCCAACAAAUGACUCCUCCCACCGUAUUAUGAUGUUGCCCAAGUUUUGGACUCAAUCCGAUAUCGAUUGGUCCAUGAAAUUGGACAAUUCAGGUUCGUACGAAGUUCAUUAUGAAAUAGAGAGGUUGGUGUAUUGCGUAGUUUUAGCCAUUGAAUUUCACUCAAAAGACACCGAAUGACUCCUCCCACCGUAUUAGGACGUUCCCGAAGUUUUGGACUCAAUCCGAUAUCGAUUGGUCCAUGAAAUUGGACAAUUCAGGUUCGUAUGAAGUUCUAUCUGAAAUGGAGUGGUUGGAGUAUUGCAUAGUUGUAGAGAUUGGAUUUCACUCAAUACCCAUCAAACGACUCCUCCCACCGUAUUAUGAUGUUGCCCAAGUUUUGGACGCAAUCCGAUAUCGAUUGGUCCAUGAAAUUGGACAAUUCAGGUUCGUAUGAAGUUCGUUCUGAAAUGGAGUGGUUGGAGUAUUGCAUAGUUGUAGAGAUUGGAUUUCACUCAAUACCCAUCAAAUGACUCCUCCCACCGUAUUAUGAUGUUGCCCAAGUUUUGGACUCAGUCCGAUAUCGAUUGGUCCAUGAAAUUGGACAAUUCAGGUUCGUAUGAAGUUCGUUCUGAAAUGGAGUGGUUGGUGUAUUGCAUAGUUGUAGAGAUUGGAUUUUACUCAAAACCCACCAAAUGACUCCUCCCACCGUACUAUGAUGUUCCCCAAGUUUUGGACUCAAUCCGAUAUCGAUUGGUCCAUGAAAUUGGACAAUUCAGAUUUCGUACGAAGUUCGUUCUGAAAUGGAGAGGUUAGUGUAUUGCAUAGUUUUAGCCAUUGGAUUUCACUCAAAAGUCACCAAAUGACUCCUCCCACCAUAUUAUGAUGUUCCCCGAGUUUUGGACUCAAUCCGAUAUCGAUUGGUCCAUGAAAUUGGACAAUUCAGGUUCGUACGAAGUUCG